UCCGGUUUGGCACCGGCAGUCCUCCCAGAGUCCUCGACUUGACUCGCUAGCAACUGGGAGCGGGGGUUGCGCUCGUUGCGGGACUUAACCCAACAUCUCACGACACGAGCUGACGACAGCCAUGCAGCACCUGUGUGUAGGCCCCGUAAGGGGAGGAAUCCAUCUCUGGAAACCGUCCUACCAUGUCAAACGCUGGUAAGGUUCUGCGCGUAUCAUCGAAUUAAACCACUGCUCCACCGCUUGUGCGGGUCCCCGUCAAUUCCUUUGAGUUUUAACCUUGCGGCCGUACUCCCCAGGCGGUCGACUUCACGCGUUAGCUUCGUUACUGAGAGUGUCAAACCCCCAACAACCAGUCGACAUCGUUUAGGGCGUGGACUAC
rnacentral:misc_RNA from 1 species